rnacentral:rRNA from 1 species
GACGAACGCUGGCGGCGUGCUUAACACAUGCAAGUCGAACGGAAAGGCCCGGCUUUUGUGGGGUGCUCGAGUGGCGAACGGGUGAGUAACACGUGAGUAACCUGCCCUUGACUUUGGGAUAACUUCAGGAAACUGGGGCUAAUACGGGAUAGGAGCUCCUGCUGCAUGGUGGGGGCUGGAAAGUUUCGGCGGUUGGGGAUGGACACGCGGCUUAUCAGCUUGGUGGGGGGGUAGGGGCAUAACAAGGCCUUGCAGGGUAGCCGGCCUGGGAGGGUGACCGGCCCCAUUGGGCCUGCGAUACGGCCCAGACUCCAACGGGAGGCAGCGGUGGGGAGUAUUACACAGUGGGCGGAAGCCUGAUGCGGCCACGCCGCGUGCGGGAUGACGUCCUUCGGGUUGUGAACCGCUUUCGCCUGUGACGAAGCGUGAGUGACGGUAAUGGGUGAAGAAGCACCGGCUAACUACGUG